rnacentral:rRNA from 1 species
AUUGAACGCUGGCGGCAGGCCUAACACAUGCAAGUCGAACGAGUGGCGGACGGGUGAGUAAUGUCUGGGAAACUGCCUGAUGGAGGGGGAUAACUACUGGAAACGGUAGCUAAUACCGCAUACCAUCAGAUGUGCCCAGAGGGUAUUCGCUAGUUGGUGGGGUAACGGCUCACCAGGGCGACGAUCCCUAGCGGGUCUGAGAGGAUGACCAGCAACACUGGAACUGAGACACGGUCCAGACUCCUACGGGAGGCAGCAGUGGGGAAUAUGGCACAAUGGGCGCAAGCCUGAUGCAGCCAUGCCGCGUGUGUGAAGAAGGCCUUCGGGUUGUAAAGUACUGUCAGCGGGGAGGCGUUACCCGCAGAAGAAGCACCGGCUAACUCCGUGCCAGCAGCCGCGGUAAUUC